rnacentral:rRNA from 1 species
UACAGAGGGGGCAAGCGUUAUUCGGAACUAUUGGGCGUAAAGGGCGCGUAGGCGGCUUUUCAAGUGGCGGGUGAAAUCCCUCGGCUUAACCGAGGAACUGCCUGCCAGACUGGAUGGCUUGAGACCGGGAGAGGUGAGUGGAAUUCCCAGUGUAGCGGUGAAAUGCGUAGAUAUUGGGAGGAACACCAGUGGCGAAGGCGGCUCACUGGACCGGUACUGACGCUGAGGCGCGAAAGCGUGGGGAGCAAACAGG